GGGCGUAAAGAACGCGUAGGCGGCUUGUCACGUGGGAUGUGAAAUCUCUGGGCUCAACCCCGGAACUGCAUUCCAAUACUGGAAAGCUAGAGUGCGGCAGAGGAAACUGGUAUUUCCAGGGGUACGGGUGAAAUGCGCAAGAUUGGGAGGAACACCGGUGGCGAAGGCAUUUUUCUGGACCUAUCUGGACCUUAAGGAUGAAAACGUGGGGGAGCAAACGGGAUUAGAUACCCUGGUAGUCCACGCCGUAACGAUGAGUACCUAGUGUAGGGGGACAUUCCACGUCCUCUGUGCCGCAACUAACGCAUUAAGCGCCCCGCCUGGGGAGUACGGCCGCAAGGCUAAAACUCAAAGGAAUUGACGGGGGCCCGCACAAGCGGCGGAGCAUGCGGCUUAAUUCGACCCAACGCGAACAACCUUACCAAGGCUUGACAUACAGGGAAAUCCAGCAUAAAUGUCGGGUCCGCAAGGGUCCUGUACAGGUGGUGCAUGGUUGUCGUCAGCUCGUGUCGUGAGAUGUUGGGUUAAGUCCCGCAACGAGCGCAACCCUUGUUCUAUGUUGCCAGCGAGUAAUGUCGGGGACUCAUAGGAGACUGCCGGGGUCAACUCGGAGGAAGGUAAU
rnacentral:rRNA from 1 species